rnacentral:misc_RNA from 1 species
ACACCUCAACUCUCAUGGUCUUCCAUGAUGAGCUUGGACUUUGGGGGUUUGCUGGCCCUGCGGCCGGCUCCUCUCAAAUGAAUCAGCUUGCCAGUGUUUGGUGGCAUCACGGGUGUGAUAACUAUCUACUCUCGUGGUCGUCUGCCAGGUAACCCUCAGCGAUGAGGGUUCAUUGGAGCUCAUAAACGUCUCUCCUCGGCGAGGACAACUUUUGAAC